ACCAGGUACAGAGCUUAGCUGAUUGGUGAACAGUGAUUGAUCUCCUUUGUUCACAGUGGCUAAGUUCUGCACCUAAG
rnacentral:pre_miRNA from 1 species